UGGGGAAUCUUGGACAAUGGGGGCAACCCUGAUCCAGCCAUGCCGCGUGAGUGAUGAAGGCCUUAGGGUCGUAAAGCUCUUUCGCCUGUGAAGAUAAUGACGGUAGCAGGUAAAGAAACCCCGGCUAACUCCGUGCCAGCAGCCGCGGUAAUACGGAGGGGGUUAGCGUUGUUCGGAAUUACUGGGCGUAAAGCGCACGUAGGCGGACCAGAAAGUUGGGGGUGAAAUCCCGGGGGCUCAACCCCGGAACUGCCUCCAAAACUAUUGGUCUAGAGUUCGAGAGAGGUGAGUGGAAUUCCGAGUGUAGAGGUGAAAUUCGUAGAUAUUCGGAGGAACACCAGUGGCGAAGGCGGCUCACUGGCUCGAUACUGACGCUGAGGUGCGAAAGUGUGGGGAGCAAACAGGAUUAGAUACCCUGGUAGUCCACACCGUAAACGAUGAAUGCCAGUCGUCGGAUAGCAUGCUAUUCGGUGACACACCUAACGGAUUAAGCAUUCCGCCUGGGGAGUACGGUCGCAAGAUUAAAACUCAAAGGAAUU
rnacentral:rRNA from 1 species